UCGCAGGUGUAUUGGGAGUUCUUUAAGCUGGGUCUUAUUAUAGUCUGGCACUUUGUUCGUAGAGGGUACAAGGAGAAAAAUUAGACACCAAGUAUAUAAGUCUUUCAUAUAACCAAAGCAUGACAUAAUAUUCAAAAGAGCACAACAAUAUGAGUUCAAAAGAUUCAGGGAACAACAAUAUAGUAUCAUAAGCACAAGCGCAGAAUCCCCCAAGAUAGAGGUGCUAAUUUCAACUCAGGUUCUGCAAAAAGAAGGCCUGCGAAGUGAAAAAAGCAAGGCAUCUCUUAAUACAAUGAAGACAAAAUUUGAGGAACAGGAAUCAAGAAUAAAUAACAGAAGCGCGGCUAUGUUUUAGAGUGAGCAUGGAUGAAAAGUAAGGAUAAAAAUUCCUGUACUAUGAAAGCUGAAUAACCUUUCUGCUGGCCAGCUGUGGAUUGUGUAUAAUAGAUACAGUAAUUACUAUUUACCUCCUCCAUUGUAACCUAUCAUACUAAUAGGUUUCUGAUAUUUAAAAAACAUAUUUUAAUUUUUCAUUAGUUUAUCA